rnacentral:rRNA from 1 species
UACGAAGGGGGCGAGCGUUGUUCGGAUUUACUGGGCGUAAAGGGCGCGUAGGCGGCCCUCCUAGUCGCGUGUGAAGGCCCCGGGCUCAACCUGGGAAUUGCAUUCGAGACUGCAUUGCUGGAGUACGGAAGAGGAAGGCGGAAUUCCCGGUGUAGCGGUGAAAUGCGUAGAUAUCGGGAGGAACAUCAGUGGCGAAGGCGGCCUUCUGGUCCAGUACUGACACUCAAGUGCGAAAGCGUGGGGAGCAAACAGG